UACGUAGGGUGCGAGCGUUGUCCGGAAUUACUGGCGUAAAGAGCUCGUAGGUGGUUUGUCGCGUUGUUCGUGAAAUCUCACGGCUUAACUGUGAGCGUGCGGCGAUACGGGCAGACUAGAGUACUGCAGGGAGACUGGAAUUCCUGGUGUAGCGGUGGAAUGCGCAGAUAUCAGGAGGAACACCGGUGGCGAAGGCGGUCUCUGGCAGUAACUGACGCUGAGGAGCGAAGCGUGGAGCGAACAGG
rnacentral:rRNA from 1 species